rnacentral:rRNA from 1 species
UCAGUUCGGACUGGAGUCUGCAACCCGACUCCACGAAGCUGGAUUCGCUAGUAAUCGCGCAUCAGCCACGGCGCGGUGAAUACGUUCCCGGGCCUUGUACACACCGCCCGUCAAGCCAUGGGGAGCCGGGGGUACCUGAAGUGCGUAACCGCGAGGAGCGCCCUAGGGUAAAACUGGUGACUGGGGCUAAGUCGUAACAAGGUACC